UACGUAGGGUGCAAGCGUUAAUCGGAAUUACUGGGCGUAAAGCGUGCGCAGGCGGUUUUGUAAGUCUGAUGUGAAAUCCCCGGGCUCAACCUGGGAAUUGCAUUGGAGACUGCAAGGCUAGAAUCUGGCAGAGGGGGGUAGAAUUCCACGUGUAGCAGUGAAAUGCGUAGAGAUGUGGAGGAACACCGAUGGCGAAGGCAGCCCACUGGGUCAAGAUUGACGCUCAUGCACGAAAGCGUGGGGAGCAAACAGG
rnacentral:rRNA from 1 species